GAUGAACGCUGGCGGCGUGCCUAAUACAUGCAAGUCGAGCGAACGGACGAGAAGCUUGCUUUUCUGAUGUUAGCGGCGGACGUGUGAGUAACACGUGGAUAACCUACCUAUAAUACUGGGAUAACUUCGGGAAACCGGAGCUAAUACCGGAUAAUAUUUUGAACCGCAUGGUUCAAAAGUGAAAGACGGUCUUGCUGUCACUUAUAGAUUGAUCCGCGCUGCAUUAGCUAGUUGGUAAGGUAACGGCUUACCAAGGCAACGAUGCAUAGCCGACCUGAGAGGGGGAUAGGACAAACGGGAAGAGAGACACGGUCCAGACGCCGACGGGAGGAAGCAGUAGGGAAUCUUACGCAAUGGGCGAAAGCCUGACGGAGCAAAGCCGCGUGAGUGAUGAAGGUCUUCGGAUCGUAAAACUCUGUUAUUAGGGAAGAACAUAUGUGUAAGUAACUGUGCACAGCUUGACGGUACCUAAUCAGAAAGCAACGGCUAACUACGUG
rnacentral:rRNA from 1 species